rnacentral:rRNA from 1 species
AAAUGAAUUGACGGGGGCCCGCACAAGCGGUGGAGCAUGUGGUUUAAUUCGAUGAUACGCGAGGAACCUUACCUGGGCUCAAAUGCAAGUUGACGUAUGGUGAAAGCUGUAUUUCUUCGGACAAUUUGCAAGGUGCUGCAUGGUUGUCGUCAGCUCGUGCCGUGAGGUGUCGGGUUAAGUCCCAUAACGAGCGCAACCCCUAUUCUUAGUUGCCAUCAGGUCAAGCUGGGGACUCUAGGAAAACUGCCUACGCAAGUAGAGAGGAAGGUGGGGAUGACGUCAAAUCAGCACGGCCCUUACGUCCAGGGCUACACACGUGCUACAAUGGCCAGUACAAAGGGCAGCUACCUGGUGACAGGAUGCUAAUCUCAAAAGCUGGUCUCAGUUCGGAUCGAAGUCUGCAACUCGACUUCGUGAAGCUGGAAUCGCUAGUAAUCGCGCAUCAGCCAUGGCGCGGUGAAUACGUUCCCGGGCCUUGUACACACCGCCCGU